rnacentral:lncRNA from 1 species
UGGAGAGAAGGCCAUUCUGAGGUCAACUGAAACCUCACUUGAGGGGCAGUUCCGUAGAUAGGAAUGAGGAGAGAGUCAUGGCCACAGCCACCUGGCCAAGGAGAGAGGCCGUAACUGCCAGACAGAACCGAGGAUGGAGGGGCUUCAGCAGCACGAACAAUCCACACUCAGCAUGGGUCACUCUCUGGGACACACAUUUCCCUCUGGCUGAAAGGCUGAGCUGCUCCAGGGCCAACUGUGAGGUCAGACAGCUGCCCAGGGAUGUCUCCGGCCACUCAAGGGAAGAAGAGACCACUCACCCGUAAUUUCAACAGCAACAAAAGACCUGAGGUUCCACCAUCAGAACUUCACGCCCUAAGGAAGAUGCAGCAUUUCCUGUAAAAUGCAAGUGCUCCCAGGCAGAGGUAGCUCCUGAAGCCAUGAUCAGUUAUGUAUACCUUAGUGGCAGCUGAUUAAUAGACCCUUCCCAAGAGCCAGCUGACAGGAAGCACAUCGGGGUAAAAGAGAAGAUGAAAACUUGGGUGCCUGGAGGAAGGGAACAAAUGCGAGCAGGAGCAUGGUAAUAACAUAGGUAAAAUAGCAGACAUUUAUACAUUACACCUGUGUGCCAGGCACUGUUGUAAGUACUGGAUAGAUAGACAGAUAAGUGGAUAGAUAGAGAGCUAGAGCUAGAGAGAGAGAGAGAGAGUGAGAGAGAGAGAGAGAUUUAUUCUGGCAAUAGUACUAUGCCAUGGGUGUUGUUAUCAUCAGCAUUUUACAAAUCAGGAAACAGAGGCCCAGAAAGUUUACAUGUGCUGGUCUUUGCCCUCCAGACCCACCCUCCACCUUUCUCCUCCCUGCUCUGUGCCCUGAGGGCUGAUCUCUGCCCUGAGGGCUGAUCUCUGCCCUCAACUUU